GGGCCCGUAGCUCAGUUGGCUAGAGCGCCGCUUUUGCAAAGCGGAGGCCUCGGGUUCAAAUCCCGACGGGUCCA
rnacentral:tRNA from 1 species